rnacentral:tRNA from 1 species
UGGUAGAAGGUUAUGGUUAAGACUUUGGAAUAUUCCUCCAGAGGUCAUGGGUUCGAUUCCCAUUCGACCCA